rnacentral:rRNA from 1 species
UACGAAGGGGGCUAGCGUUACUCGGAUUGACUGGGCGUAAAGGGCGCGUAGGCGGAUGGUACAGUCAGACGUGAAAUUCCUGGGCUCAACCUGGGGGCUGCGUUUGAUACGUGCUGUCUGGAGUUCGGAAGAGGGUCGUGGAAUUCCCAGUGUAGAGGUGAAAUUCGUAGAUAUUCGGAAGAACACCAGUGGCGAAGGCGACUUACUGGACACGUAUUGACGCUGAGGUGCGAAAGCGUGGGGAGCAAACAGG